rnacentral:lncRNA from 13 species
UACAAAUUCAUAAGUUGAGACCUAACCUCCAUGGCGAUUGUAUGGUAGAGCCUUGGCUAGGGUGCGGUGGCUCAUACCCAUAAUCCCAACACGUUGGGAGGCCAAGUGGGCAGAUCAAUUGAGGUCAGGAGUUUGGGACCAGCCAGGCCAACAUGGGGAAGCCCAUCUCUACUAAAAAUACAAAAUUAGCCAGGUAUUAUGGCACAUGCUUGUAAUCUCAGCUACUUGGAAGAUAGAGGCAGCAGAAUAGCUUGAAUCUGGGAAGCAGAGGUUACAGUAAAUUGAAAUAGUGCCACUGUGCUGCAGUCUGGGCAACAGAGAGUGAUACUCCAUCUUAAAAGAAAAAAAGAUCUAGGGCCUCUUGUAGGGUAAUUAGGUCAAGAGGACAGAGCCCUUGUAAAUGGGAUUAGUAGCUUUACAAACAGUCCCAAGGGAAUUUAUUCCCCUUUUCUACUAUGUAAGGACAGCAAGAAUGUACCAUCUGUGAGCCAGAAAGCUAACCCUCACCAGACACCAACAGAAAUAAAUGUCUAUUGUUCACAGGCUACCCGGUUUAUGAUAUUUUGUAAUAGCAGCCUGAAUGGACUAAAAUGAACAAGAUACAGUUCCUGAUUUCAAGAAGCUCACAGUCUAUAUUUGAGGCUCUGUAAAGCAAGCAGGCAAUAUAGGAUGAAAGUGCCAAGACAAAGACAAGCUCAGGGCUGCUGCUGUUUGCUGGAGGUUCACCCUAGACCCUAUUCACCUGCAUCCCUUCCACACCUGGAGGUGUCACAACAGCAAAGAUGGUUGCCUGCUCCUUCCUCUGGAAGGCUUAUUGAGGCAGAGAAGUAA